rnacentral:rRNA from 1 species
ACCGCCCGUCGCUACUACCGAUUGAAUGGUCUAGUGAGGGCACCGACUGGCGCCCUUGGAGCGCUACCGCCUGCGCAGCGCCGCGCCUCGGGUCGACGGAAAGGUGUCAAGCUGGGUCAUUUAGAGGAAGUAAAAGUCGUAACAAGGUUUCCGUAGGUGAACCUGCGGAAGGAUCAU